GAUGAACGCUGGCGGCGUGCUUAACACAUGCAAGUCGAACGAUGAAGCCCAGCUUGCUGGGUGGAUUAGUGGCGAACGGGUGAGUAACACGUGAGUAACCUGCCCUUAACUCUGGGAUAAGCCUGGGAAACUGGGUCUAAUACCGGAUAGGAGCGUCCACCGCAUGGUGGGUGUUGGAAAGAUUUAUCGGUUUUGGAUGGACUCGCGGCCUAUCAGCUUGUUGGUGAGGUAAUGGCUCUCCAAGGCGACGACGGGUAGCCGGCCUGAGAGGGUGACCGGCCACACUGGGACUGAGACACGGCCCAGACUCCUACGGGAGGCAGCAGUGGGGAAUAUUGCACAAUGGGCGCAAGCCUGAUGCAGCGACGCCGCGUGAGGGAUGACGGCCUUCGGGUUGUAAACCUCUUUCAGUAGGGAAGAAGCGAAAGUGACGGUACCUGCAGAAGAAGCACCGGCUAACUACGUG
rnacentral:rRNA from 1 species